GAUGGUUGAUCAAUGAUUAAGAAUCAUUCUAAGGUUAAACGAUCAAUACGAUUGACAUUUAACCUAAUGCAAGUGCUACAGGAGGAUCGAUUAGCAAUUCGAUUGCUAAUUGGCUUAAUUUGAUUAAGUCAAUGGUCUGAGAUUAAGUCUAAUUGAAUAUGAUUUAAUUAAAUUUGAUUUGGGCUUGAUCAAGUCCAAUUGGUUUAUUGGAUAAG
rnacentral:lncRNA from 1 species